ensembl:lncRNA
UCCCAUUAUUGUCCCCAUUCCCCAUUGAUGUCCCCAUAUCCCAUUGCUCCACAAAUCCCUCACUGUCCCCCACCCCACCGAUGUCCCCACACCCCAUUAAUGUCCCCACACCCCAUUGAUGUCCCCACACCCCAUUAAUGUCCCCACCCCCCCUGCUGUCCCCCCCACAGCUUCGUGGAGGCCAUCGUGGCCCUUUAUUACCCCACGGACGCCGACGUGGCCGACGACCCCGAACUGCAGCAGUGGGUGGGGGAGAUCUUCAUCUAUGGGGUGCUGGGCAACGACAAGUCCGGUUUCCCCUCCAAGCUCUGCACCCGCCCCGACCUCACCAAAUUCCUCACCAUGAUCAUCUUCCGCUGCUCCGCGCAGCACGCAGCCGUCAACAGUGGCCAGUACGACUUCGCAGCCUGGAUGCCCAACACCCCCGGGACCCUCCGGCUGCCCCCCCCCGGCCCCGAGGACCCGGUGACCCCCGACACCUUUUUGGCCACUUUGCCGUCCCCGAAGGCCACCGGGGCGCUGCUGGCGCUGCUCAGCGUCGUCAGCUACGAGGUCGGAGAGAGGGUGAGCGGGGACCGACCCUAAAAAGGACCUAUAAGAAACCCCCGUGACCCCAUAAAAACACCAGGACCCUAAAAGACCCCUGGGAAGCUGUGGGACACCAAAGAAACCCCGUGGGACCCCCAGGACCCCAUAGGAUCCCAUAGGACCACCAAGAUCCCAUAGGAUCCCAUAGGACUCCCAUGAUCCCAAAGGACCCCCAUGACCCCAAAAGAACCCCAAAAGAAGCCUAUAAGAACCCCUGUGACCCCAUAAAAACACCAGGACCCCAAAAGACCCCUGUGAACCUGUGGGACCCCGAAGAAACCCUGUGGGACCCCCAUGGCCCCAAGGGAACCCUAAAACCCCAUAGGAACCCCAGGACCCUAUAAGACCCCAUGGGACCCCCAUGACCCCAAACUUCCCCCAGGGACCCCCACGACCCCAAGGGAACCCCAAAACCCCAUAGGAACCCCAGGACCCCAUAGGAUCCCAUAGGACCCAGUAGGACUCCCAGGGACCCCCAUGACCCCAAGGGACCCCAAAGGGACCCCCAUGACCCCAAGGGACCCCAAAGGGACCCCCAUGACCCCAAGGGAACCUCCUGUGACCCCAUAGGAUACCCAUGACCCCGUAGGAUCCCAUAGGACCCCCGUGAUCCCAAAGGACCCCGUGAACCCCUGGGACCCCAAAGGGAGCCUAUAGGAACACCCUGUGACCCCAUAGGAACCCCAGGACCCUAUAAGACCCCUGUGACCCCGUGGGACCCCAUAGAACACCCCAAGGGAUCCCCAUGACCCCAAAGGACCCCUGUGACCCCAAAAGAACCCCAAAAGGAGCCUAUAGGAACCCCUCGACCCCAUAGGAACCCCAGGACCCUAUAAGACCCCUGUGACCCCGUGGGACCCCAAAGAAACCCCGUGGGACCCCCAGGACCCCAAGGGAACCCUAAAACCCAUAGGACCCCCAUGACCCCAUAGGAUCCCAUAGGACCACCAUGAUCCCAAAGGACCCCCGUGACCCCAUGGGACCCUAAAAGCAGCCUAUAGGAACCCCCUGUGACCCCAUAGG